CGCCCUAGGCUGGAUUGUGAAUUCAUGCAUAGAACCAGACCUGCUCUACACCUAAUGCCAAAAAAAGCCUGCAAAGUUCUCCUCUGCUACAAAGCAACACAAAAAGCCCUCCUAGUCCAUCACCUGUUGCUCAAGGCAUGUAAGAGCAGGAACACACUCAGCCCCUAGAGCCCACACUGAGAAGCUGAGCACUGAGAAGGGACCAGGAUAUGAGGAACCACAUUAGUGGUCUUUGGCCACUAUUUCUGCUGAGCAAAAAUCAGAAGGCUUGUUCCUUUGUGGUAGAAAUCAGAAAACAAGGAGAAGAAGCACUGCUUUAAUUACAUUUAGAGGUUUCUCCUAGGUACAGAGACAUGGUCAUGGAUCUUUCUGUAUAUAUAUUUUAUUUAUAUAUACACAUAUAUAUAUCUAUAUAUAUGUAUGUGUAUUAUAUUAUUGAAUACUAUAUAUUCAAAACAUUUUACAUCAUAGCUAUGGGAAAUGGCAUUCCCACAGCAGGGAAAUGCCAUGACAGAAAAUGCAAGGAGGAUCGUUCUGUCUGACUCACUCUAACAGGGAGGCCUUGGGACCAAAGCACCACCACCAUUUUUUCCCCCAUUUUUCUCCUUCCACAAUAUUGCUCAGGAGGCGGGGCUGAAAUGGGUGGCACGGAAGUGGCAGCUCUGACACACAGCUGAAACCAUCAGGGCCAGGGUGGCAUGUGGGACUGUUUUUCCACUGCAACAGAACAAGGCAAGCCAGAGUGGUGACACUGAUCCCAAGUGAGUCCAGCCAAGCCAAGUGGAGCCCAGCAGGGUGGUAGGAAGAGGCAGCAAAGUGGCAGAUCCCAUUCCCACACACAUGCCCAGCGUGGCAGACUGAUGGCAGUGGCGGUGCCAAACAGAGCUCUGCAGGGACAGAGAGACACCCAUCACCAUCGCCACUGCCACCAUCCCUGCUGCAGAGAGGGAGCAGGAAACUGCCACUGCAGGUGCACAGCUGCUCCAGGCAGCACCAGCAGCCCCCAUCUACCAUCAGAACCAUUCUGAGAGAGAGGAGAGGCUUUACAAGGACUACCUCAAGAAGAGGACAUAGAAUGGAGGGAAGGCCUUCGAAAGAAUGAACAACCCUCAUGCUGCCGCUUUUGCAAGGAAUAAAUGUCCAAGUUUCUUAAUAUCCAGCCACAAAUCUGUGGAGUCUUGACAGCCAAGAAGCACAGGAACCUGGACACCUUGUUGUGAGAGACUAGAGGAGAUUGCUGGCUCAACACUUUUCAGGGGCUUGUAUGUGGGGAAGGGGGCAGAUCAAGGCUUGCUCUGGUGAGGCGAUGCCCCACUUGGCACGCCCCACACCCCCAGGCCUGUAUCCCAGCCCAGCAGUGGCCACUGAUCCCAGCACACCAGAGGCAAUGCUCCAUACCUGUGUCUGGAGCCCCUAACCCAGCUCCUAAAUGGCCAGGUGAGUGGGAGCCCCAUGUGGGGGAAGGCCCCAGGAGAGCCAAAGGCUAUUUACCUUGGGAUAUGUGGCCACCACAUGUCUUGACCCUACCUCUUCUUGGAAUUUCUAUCAGCUGAACACCACUGGAACCAGGAGUGAUAGCUAUGUUGGUUCUUUUCUGUCAUUCUCUUUUUCUCUUUCUUCUCCCUUUUCCCUCCUCUCAGAUUUUUGAAAAUAACUUAAAAUGUAACAGGUUUAGUAAUCUACAUGUAAAUUAACUUACUAAGAUUACAAGUUGAAUGGGCUAAAUUAAUGCUUCAUAGAAUGUUUUAUGUUGAUUGAAUCCUGCUCUAAAUUAUUUUUGCCUUUCAAGUUCUCUGAUUUUCAAAUGUUGCCAGUGAAGGGUUUUGAUGUUGUUCCGAACUCUUGAGAACAUCUCGUCAGUAUUUCUCCUGCUUUUCUAACUUAGAGUACAUGAACAAGUUUAAAUCCUUUUAAAGUAUCUCAUAGAGCAACGUUUUUGGAGGCUUGCAUUUUAAUUGGCACAGCAAGCAGGGUACUCUUGAGGUGAUAUGGGCCUUUUAUACAGCAUUAACUGUUCAUGACAUAAUAAAGGAGAAAUAAAUUUUCAGUCAAAGCUGCUCUUUUCUGGCAGAAAAGUAAUAGAAUCCCACGCAGAAACUGAUCUGAACUGCUCUCCAGUGACGCACUUGCUAAAAGCUUAUAUAGAAAGCUUGUCCAGCCCUAAAGAGAGAUGGGAAUGGAGAGAAACUAGCACCAUCCACAGUUACUUGUGGAGAAACAUGAAAUUUGGUAGAAGAAAAUUAAAAACUCCAAGUAAAGGACCAUGCCUGGUAUCCAUAUGCAUGGAGGUUUGACUCAGAGCUGUAUGGUGCCCAUCAGCUGGAAAAGGAGCUGCAUCAGCUGCAAAUUGCUGAGCCUGAAACAAUAGCCAGCCUCAGACCAGAGUAGGAAUUGAAUGCCAGGAUGAAGCCAGCCCCCAAACCAUGAGAAACCAGUGAAACACGCUCUUCCAAAGCCAAAGAGCUUUAGAGUUGCAAUUUAACACUGCUGGGGAAGGCCUGGAAGCAGUGUUUUCCAUAGUCCAGGAACAGCCAGGCCUUCCUGACUGCAAGGUCAGCCCCACAGCCCUUGGGAGGGCUUUACUGCCUUAAAGUCCAACCCCGCCCCUCACCCUAAACUCUGCCCACCCCUAUAAAAUACAGAGGCAGGAUGCCCCGAAGAUGAUGUCACCUUCCUCUGCUCCCUGGAGGAGAGGUUCAGCUCUGCAAAGCCAAUCUUCUUCCCUCCUCAUCCCAAGCCCUGCUCACUGAUAAAGAAGGAAUUCACUUACCAGGAUGCAGUGUCUGCAGUGAUACCUCAUUCUGCAACAGAAGUGGUUGAACUACACGGGAAAAUAAGCAAUGAUCGCAAAGAAAGGGAAAUGGAGAAUGUUUUGCGAAUUUGGAUUUGGGGGAAUGAAAUAGAACUUUUGGAGAAGGAAGCACAUGGUGAAAAGCGCUGGUCUUUUGCUCAGGGAACAACUUGUGGUAUGAAAAGUUUGGACCCCUUGCAGAGGGGGGAACCCCAUACCAUGCAUGAGAAACAGCUGAUGCCUGUUGACCUUCUUCUGUGUUAUUGUAAGUUAUUUCAACAUACAAGGAUCAAAACUGAGAAAACAAAAUCUUGGCACCACCUCCAAAAAGUUAUGGUUGUUGAUAGAAGGUGGUGGAUUAAAAUAUCCCUAGAGGCUCUCUGGAAAGAAAAUGGGGAUUAAAUGGGGACUCAGUUUCCCUGGAUUCUUAAUGAAGCUUUGCAAACUGCUCCUGCCCUGCCUCCUUCUGGCAGCCCUGGCUAUUGAGCCUUCUCUGCCACCAAAGGCUGGAAGCCAAAAUGCUGCCGCUAGAGCAUAACCCUUAGGAGAAAAUGAUUUUAUCAUCGUGCAAGUUUGUUGUUUUGGUCUCACUAAUAAGCCUGAAUGUUCAAGAAUGUCCUCACUAGUCAGGAGACUGGAUGUACAUCCAGACCCGGAAUGGAGAGCCACUUAACCAGAAGUGGAAAGGACUUUUGAUCCCAUGGCUGUGAGAUUUACAGCUGGACACUCCUAAAUUAUGUGAUUAAAGUCAGCUCUGGACACAUGGAAUUGUAUUGGACAGUCCAGUAAAUGUAACUCUGCUGCAAAUAAAGCUGCAAUGGACAUUUCUAAAGUGAAAAACAUUAAAUGGUUUCUCUUUCUGCCCAUUUCCAGAGCAGUGUCCCUGGUAUGGCAGCAUGGCUGUUUGUUCCUGAAUUAGUCAACCAUCCUGGCAGGACCGUGUACCUAAUGACUACAAUAGCAAGUAUGGCUUUGAGUGCCAGAGGGGUAAGAGACCAAGAAAGAAAAGAGAGCCAUGUCUGUAGGAGUGUGCACCCUAAUGGCAGAGUGGCAAAACUAGCCUUUGUCCCCCAGAAAAGGAAAGAAGGCCAGAAGUUUCUCUCAAGGAUUAGGUGAAAAGCCACCUCAUGGGACCUCAGGGACUUCACCAAAUACUUGAGGACAUCUAAUUGGAUAGAAGCCAAAAAGUGCCGCUUGAUCCAUCAGGGAGAAAAAGAAGAGAAGAAAAGAGCUAAGUGCUUUUGUGAAGUGUUUUUACCAGGAGCGGACUGCUGCACCUGGCUCGAGUUUUUCUCUUUGUUAUUAUGCCUUUUAUUAAACCUUUUUGUUUCUAACACUGCA